AGAGUUUGAUCCUGGCUCAGAACGAACGCUGGCGGCACGCCUAACACAUGCAAGUCGAACGAGGGCAUUUCUUCGGAGAUGUUCCUAGUGGCGGACGGGUGAGUAACGCGUGGGAAUCUGCCUGAUAGAGGGGGAUAACUGUUGGAAACGACAGCUAAUACCCCAUACGCUGAAGAGAAGCAAAGAGAAAAAACACACGAGUUUUAUGGAUGUCGAGUUAUAUUUCUGAAUCGCUACGCUGCGCUCGCGAUGAGACGCAGGAGGGUGUCAUGCCACAGAUCCGAAGGGGAGUGGCCAUUCAGAACUAUUCGUCCCAAAAGAACAGAAUCGCCCAGGGAUUUUUGUGACGUCUCCGGGAGGGGAGAUCGUGAAGUGUUUUGUUCUUUUUUCUUCUCUUCAGGAAAGAUUUAUCGCUAUCAGAUGAGCCCGCGUCAGAUUAGGUAGUUGGUGAGGUAAAGGCUCACCAAGCCAAUGAUCUGUAGCUGGUCUGAGAGGAUGGCCAGCCACACUGGGACUGAGACACGGCCCAGACUCCUACGGGAGGCAGCAGUGGGGAAUCUUGGACAAUGGGGGCAACCCUGAUCCAGCGAUGCCGCGUGAAUGAAGAAGGCCUUAGG
rnacentral:rRNA from 1 species